CAGCAGCCGCGGUAAUACAGAGGGUGCAAGCGUUAAUCGGAAUUACUGGGCGUAAAGCGCGCGUAGGUGGUUUGUUAAGUUGGAUGUGAAAGCCCCGGGCUCAACCUGGGAACUGCAUCCAAAACUGGCAAGCUAGAGUACGGUAGAGGGUGGUUGAAUUUCCUGUGUAGCGGUGAAAUGCGUAGAUAUAGGAAGGAACACCAGUGGCGAAGGCGACCACCUGGACUGAUACUGACACUGAGGUGCGAAAGCGUGGGGAGCAAACAGGAUUAGAUACCCGUGUAGUCCCUGUCUCUUAUAC
rnacentral:rRNA from 1 species